GACGAACGCUGGCGGCGUGCUUAACACAUGCAAGUCGUACGGUAAGGCCCUUUCGGGGGUACACGAGUGUCGAACGGGUGAGUAACACGUGAGUAACCUGCCCACAACUUUGGGAUAACGCUAGGAAACUGGUGCUAAUACUGGAUAUGUUCUCCUGCUGCAUGGUGGGGGUUGGAAAGCUCCGGCGGUUGUGGAUGGACUGGCGGCCUAUCAGCUUGUUGGUGGGGUAGUGGCCUACCAAGGCGGCGACGGGUAGCCGGCCUGAGAGGGUGACCGGCCACAUUGGGACUGAGAGACGGCCCAGACUCCUACGGGAGGCAGAAGUGGGGAAUAUUGAACAAUGGGCGCAAGCCUGAUGCAGAAACGCCGCGUGCGGGAUGACGGCCUUCGGGUUGUAAACCGCUUUCAGCAGGGACGAAGCUUUUUGUGACGGUACCUGCAGAAGAAGCACCGGCUAACUACGUG
rnacentral:rRNA from 1 species